CUCUGUUUGCUUCAUCAGACAAACCUCACACAAUGAGAAUGACCUGACAUGAAACUGUAACAUCAUACAUAUGGUGGAGGAACAGUGAAACACAAUGUGGAGUUUUUUUUUCUUCAUACUCAUCUGGUUUUCUACAACCCAAGCUGUCACUUUGACAGACUACUGUGAAGAUGUCCCCGACAAGUGUCAUGACAGGGGUGGUUCCUGGACUAGGUGUUAUGAGGGCAGGAUUACAAACUGUACAUUCAGAAGGCGU